CCCCCGCCAAUCCCGUUGGCGGCGUAUUGUGGUCGACCGUAUUGUUUUCGGCCGGACCACGAGUGCUGAAAUCCUUCCUCGACGUUAUCGUGUCGCGUACGGGUCGCGUAAAGGCGGGUGGGUACGGUCCGGGAAGGGUCGCGCGUAAAAAGAAUACUAUACGUGCCGGAAACAUCAAAAGUUAAUUUUGUCGUUCUCCCGUGAAUGAUGAAAUACGCGAAAGUGCAAACGCCGACGACGAUAGAAAAAAAAAAAUUACACAUAUACACGUCGUGCAGUUAUGUUAUUGUGUCGUUUGGCGCGUGUUUUUACUUUACUAGCAAAAGUUCUUUAUUUUUUUUUGUUGAAAAUACGUCGGUAACCUACGUGCUGAUGAAAAACACAAUAAAAAGUCGUAAAAAAACAAAACAAACAAAGAAACGCCAUAAACAUCGGUCUUUUCCUUCGCGUUUUCCACGGAUCGAAAUAACAAAUAAAAGAGCAUGUACAAAAAGUUGGGGAUGGUAGAAUUUAUUAUACAUAGUGUAAUAUCACUAUUAUAACUAUAUACCCGACAGUUCUCCGUUGACAACGAAAAACGAUUCUGAGCAAUGUUCUGUUAAACGUACAUUUUAAAACGUCACGAUCUCUGUGAUUUCCAUGCAACCCUAAAUCCCUACUAUUAAGUAGUAAUAUAAUUGGUAGGCUGAACUUUUAUUAUGAUUAAAGAUAAAUUAUUCUUUGUAGUACCAAAAACUAGAUCAAUUAUUUUAUAUUGUAUAGGUACAUUUUUGUACCUACUCCUCUAUAUUUUAUACUUUGAAGGUACUUCUACGUAAUAUCCUAUUAUUUCAAAUAUUUUUGUCUUCUAUUACUAUACUUAGUGUCUUAGUCUAUUACUAUCACACCCUACCACAACUUUAUAUUUCCCCCCCCCU